UGAUGUAGCUCAGUGGUAGAGUUCUUGCUUUACAUGCAGGAGGUCCUAGGUUCAGUCCCCAGCACCA
rnacentral:tRNA from 1 species